rnacentral:rRNA from 1 species
AGCGGCGGACGGGUGAGUAACGCGUGGGUAACCUGCCUCAUACAGGGGGAUAACAGUUGGAAACGGCUGCUAAUACCGCAUAAGCGCACAGUACUGCAUGGUACGGUGUGAAAAACUCCGGUGGUAUGAGAUGGACCCGCGUCUGAUUAGGUAGUUGGUGGGGUAACGGCCUACCAAGCCGACGAUCAGUAGCCGACCUGAGAGGGUGACCGGCCACAUUGGGACUGAGACACGGCCCAA